rnacentral:ribozyme from 14 species
UGGAAGAAGAUAUUUCUUCUACCUUUGGUUUUGUAUUAUCCAUUUUUUUUCUUAUCAAAAUCUACUUUAUUUCCUUUUACUCUAUCCUAUAAAGCAGAUACCUUCGUGCAAAAAAGGAGCAAUGUU